UACGUAGGGUGCAAGCGUUGUCCGGAAUUUAUUGGGCGUAAAGAGCUCGUAGGCGGUUUGUUGCGUCGGCUGUGAAAUCCCGAGGCUCAACCUCGGGUCUGCAGUCGAUACGAGCAAACUAGAGUGUUGCAGGGGAGACUGGAAUUCCUGGUGUAGCGGUGAAAUGCGCAGAUAUCAGGAGGAACACCGGUGGCGAAGGCGGGUCUCUGGGCAACAACUGACGCUGGAGGAGCGAAAGCGUGGGGAGCGAACAGG
rnacentral:rRNA from 1 species